rnacentral:rRNA from 1 species
AUGUGGCAAACGCGGUGCUGGACGGAUAUGCUUCCCGCUAAAGCACCAGCAGCAGCCAAGAAGAUUGAAGAAUCCAAUGAAAGUUCUGAUUCUGAAAGCUCUGACUCUGAGAAGCCAGCUACUGAAGUGAAGAAUUAUGCGGUUGCUACUGCACAAAAGAAAAACCAGGAAUUGGACGGCUCUGACAGUGAUUCUGACGAUUCAUCAGAUGGGGAUAUGGCCACUAAAAAACCAGUAGCCAAGAAAGUGGUAGAAUCCAGUGAAAGUUCUGAUUCUGACUCUGAGGAGGAUACCACUGCUAAACCAGUUCAAUCUUCCAAGGUUGUUGUUGUUAAAAAGAAUAAAGAAUCUAGUGAUAGCUCAUAUUCUGACUCAGAUUCAGAUACUGAAGAAGAUACCACUGCUCAAACAAUUUCUGUAAAGAAAGAAAAAUCUAGUGGUAGCUCAGAUAAUGACUCGGAUUCAGAUUCGGAUGAACCAGCAAAAUCUACUAUUCCUGCUAAGAGGCCUCUGACAACAGAGAAAAAGAGUGAACAUUCCAAGGAUGAUUCUGAUGAUAGUUCUGAUGAGAGUGAUGAAGAGUCUGCACUAAAGAAGCCUAAGGAUCCAUCUUCUAGUGGUGCCAUGCCAGUCUCUAAGGUUGCCAAGAAAGAAAGCAGUGGUGAUGAUGACAGUUCUAAAGAGAGCUCCAGCAGUGAUGAUGAAAAUGAUCAAUCAAUGUCAAUGGUGAAGUCCAAGCAGAACGAAGAACGAAGAUCUGAAUCAUCCUCACCCCUCUAG